rnacentral:lncRNA from 1 species
CCUCAGCACAAUCUGAUAUCGGAACGAUCAAAUCCGGGUCCGCCGUCAACCACUACAGUACCCACUAAUCCGGAACACUGUAAACACUACUGUAAAAAUCGGCUCGGCAUCCCAGCACGAACGUAACUGAAAUCUGAAUUACCUGGGAUACUCACUAUGGGGAUACUGCAACAGUAUAAAAAUACAACGGCCCCUAGGGCUAAAUCAGGUAGUUCAACAUAUGCCAGGUCCCAAACGCUGAUUUUCUCCUAUGUUUUAUCCAAGUCCCACAUGCAUGAUUAAUAACAACUAAUAACAUGCUCCCAAUUCAGUUUAUAUGUCUAAAACAUACCUACUCAUGAAUUUGAGCUAAAUAAUAACAACUUGUAAUAUUAACGAUACAUGUCGACCAACAAUACUAUAGGAGUAGGAUUUCGAUGAUAAACCCACCUUGAAUGCUAAAUCCACCCCGGCGCGACGUCGAGAACUGUGAAACCACGCCCUAGCCCGGACUCCUCGCGAUGCUACGACUGCAACAGUAUCCUCGAACGGCUCCGCGGCGCGACGUCGACGUCGAAUUCGAGCUCCGCGGCUACUCCCCCGAGCUCCACCUGGUAUGGUUCUCUACUUCACACUAAAGAGAGAAAGCAAAUUUAGUUAGAGUGCCACCCUUAAGAAGAUAAGUGGAUAAGCAUGCGUGGGGGGAGUGCACGUGGCAUCCAUAGCCACCCUCAAUCUUCACCGACUAAGUUCUAUAAUAUAUAUAUAUAUAUAUAUAUAUAUAUAUAUAUAUAUAUUAUACUACAUCCUCCCCNCAUAUAUAUAUAUAUAUAUAUAUAUAUAUAUAUAUAUAUAUUAUACUACAUCCUCCCCCAGUACAAAAAGUUUCGUCCUCGAAACUUAACACAUACCUCAACACGGGGCAUCGAACAGGUCGGGGUAGGACUCCCUCAUCACCGUCUCAGGCUCCCAAGUCGCCUCCCGCUCCUCAUAAUUGCUCAACUGCACUUUCACAUACGGAAUGACCCGGUUGCGCAAUUCUUUCGUCUCAUGAGCAAGAAUCCGCACCUGUCGCUCCUCGUAUCUCAGAUUCUCGCCAAUCCCUAGUGGAGUGAAGUCAAUCAUAUGAGAAGGAUCGAAAACAUAUCUCCUCAGUGCCGAGACGUGGAACACAUCAUGGAUACCAGCAAGUCGGGGUGGUAGAGCAAUCCGGUAAGCAACUGGUCUAACUCGCUCCAAUACCUCAGAAGGGCCAACGAAACGUGGACUGAGCUUUCCACGCACUCCAAAUCAGCGAAUCCCUCUGGACGACGAGACUUUAAGAAAUACAUGAUCUCCAACCUGGAACUCCAAAUCUCGUCUGCUGGUAUCGGCGUAGCUCCUCUGGCGGCUCUCGGCUGUCAAAAGGUGUCGUCGAACAACUAUGACCUUUUCCUCAGCCUCUAGCAAAAUCUCAGGCCCAAGUGUCCUCCUCUCACCCACAUCACUCCAAAACAACGGGGAUCGACACCUACGUCCAUACAACGCCUCAAACGGAGCCAUCUGAAUGCUCGUUUGAUAGCUGUUGUUGUACGCAAACUCUGCUAGUCUCAAGUGUCGAUACCACCCUCCUCCAAAAAUGUGACACAAACCUCGGGUCCCGGUCUGAUACGAUCGAUACUGGUACACCAUAUAGCCUGACAAUCUCAUCCAUAUACAACUGCGCGAGUCUCUCUCUGGACCAGGUGGUCUGAACUGAUAGGAAGUGAGUAGACUUAGUCAGUCUGUCUACUAUCACUCAAAUAGCAUCAUAGCCACCCUGUGCUCUAGGCAACCCCACAACAAAAUCUAUCGUGAUCUGCUCUCAUUUCCACUCGGGCACUGACAGACUCUGAAGCUUGCCAGCAGGUACCUGAUGCUCGGCCUUUACAUGUUGACAAGUCAGACACUGAGCCAUGCCAAUGUCUCUCUUCAUCCCGUUCCACCAGAACUGUGCUUUUAAGUCCUUAUACAUCUUGGUUCCACCAGGGUGAACCGUAUAAGGAGAAUAAUGAGCCUCUCUCAAAAUAUCCGCUCGGAUCUCUGAAUCCAUAGGUACACACAGUCGAUCCCUGUACCGCAGUACUCCCGAACUGUCUAAAGCAAAACCCUCCGCCUGUCCCCUAUCUAACUGCUCUCGAAUCCUCAACAAAUGCGAAUCUCCACUCUGUUUUUCCCGGAUCCUAUCAAACAGAGUGGGCUGCAAGACCAGAGACAUCAGUCUUGCUGUAGACCCAGGGGACACUACCUUAAGCCUCAGCCGCUGUAGCUCCUCAAGUAGCGGUCUCUGCUGAGUGAUCAACAAACUUAAGCUCUGCGCUGCCCUCCUGCUCAAUGCAUCUGCCACUACAUUCGCCCUGCCGGGAUGAUACUGAAUACUAAUAUCAUAGUCUUUCAGUAACUCCAACCACCGGCGCUGCCUCAGAUUCAAUUCCUUUUGAGUGAACAGAUACUUGAGACUUUAUGAUCGGUGAAAACCUCGCAAUGCUCGCCGUACAAAUAAUGCCGCCACAGCUUCAAAUCAAAGACUAUCGCAGCAAGCUCCAAAUCAUGCGUAGGGUAAUUCUUCUCAUAAUCCUUUAACUGCCGUGAAGUAUAAGCAAUUACCCUACCAUGCUGCAUCAGCACACAACCCAGUCCACUGUGCGAUGCAUCACUGUAGAUCAUGAAUCCUUAAUUCCCCCAUCACAGGGAGAGCAAGGAUAGGAGCUGACAUCAAUCUCUGUCUCAGCUCGUCGAAGCUCCUCUGGCAGUCCUCACACCAAACAAACCGAAUCCCCUUCCGUGUCAACCUGGUAAGGGGUGUGGAAAGCUUCGCAAAGCCCUCCGCAAAUUGACGGUAAUAUCCUGCUAGUCCAAGAAAACUCCUCACCUCUGUCACCGUCGUUGACCUAGGCCAAUCCCGAAUAGCAUCAAUCUUCUUCGGGUCCACUGCUACUCUCUCUGCAGAAAUCAUGUGGCCCAAGAAAGCGACCUCCCGCAACCAAAACUCGCACUUCUUUAACUUGGCAUACAGCUUCUUCUCUCGCAGAAGCUGUAGCACAAUCCUCUCCUCAUGCUCAGCAUCAUUACGGGAGUAGAUUAGAAUGUCAUCGAUGAAGACUACCACAAAUCUAUCCAAGAACGGCUUGAACACUCUGUUCAUCAAAUCCAUGAAUGCCGCAGGGGCAUUCGUCAAUCCAAAAGGCAUCACGGUAAACUCAUAAUGCCCGUACCGAGUCCGAAAAGCCGUCUUGGGAACAUCCUCGGCCCUCACCCUUAGCUGGUGGUAACCUGACUGGAGAUCAAUCUUCGAGAAGACACAAGAUCCCUGCAGCUGAUCAAACAAAUCAUCAAUGCACGACAAAGGAUACUUGUUCUUGAUGGUCACUUUAUUCAGCUCCCGGUAGUCCACACAUAACCUGACCGAACCAUCCUUCUUCUUUACAAAUAACACCGGCGCUCCACAAGGUGAUACACUGGGUCUCACAUAUCCCUUGUCCAUCAAAUCCUGAAGCUGCGCCUUUAGCUCUCUCAGCUCUGCCGGUGCCAUCCCGUAAGGUACCUUCGAAAUUGGUGUAGUUCCGGGAACCACAUCAAUCACGAACUCAAUCUCUCUCUCCGGUGGCAUCAUCGUCAACUCAGGGGGAAACACAUCCGGAAACUCGCGAACUAUAGGAAUAUCCUCGAGUCCCGGUGUCGCCGUAGGUACCUCUACUACCGUCGCCAGAAACGCAACGCAUCCUCUGCUCAUCAGCUGUCGAGCCCUCGCCAAAAAUAUCCAAGUAGCGAGCAGCGUACUUCUGCAGCCCCUAAAAGUAAACUCCUUCUGGCCUGGCUCGCGAAACGUCACUGUCCUCACUCCACAGUCGAUCGUAGCAUAGUAUCGUGCUAGCCAAUCCAUACCGAGCACAACGUCGAAGUCCUGCAGCUGCCCUAAAACCAACAGGUCUGCGGGCAAGAUCCACGAAUCCAACUGCACUGGACACGAUCAACAACACUCUGUAACCUGUAACACAUGGUCGGAAAUCUACACCUCUCGUGCCUGUAACAAAGCUCCGAACUCUAGACCAUGCAACAAUACAAAUGCUCGGCUAACAAAGGAAUGAGAUGCACCGGUAUUGAAAAGGGUACGAGCUCUAAUGCCAGAGAUCAAAACAAUACCUGCCACCACUCGGUCGGCUGCUGAAGAGUCCUCCACCUGGGCUGCAUAUACUCUGCCACUCGGAGCCCGCUGUCGCCGCUCACCCUAUCGCGGCACAGAUGCCCUGUCCUCCUGGCGGUAACUCUGAGGUGCUCCAAAAAUCUACUGAGAUUCGGAUGCUGCUGAAGCGGUCGAUGGCGCUGGUGAUGCUGCUCGGGGGCAAGCAGACCUCAUAUGCCCCUGCUGUCUACAUCCAAAACAUAUGCCCUCAUGCUGCUCACACUGCCGGCCCCAGUGCGGUCCUCCACAAAUCACACAUGGUGGUAAUCCCUGUGACUGCCUCUGCUGCCGCGAUCCCCCAGAAUGCUGACGCCCCGAGAACCCACGACCCUGAGAACGCGACCGUAGAGGUCUCGGCAGACGCCGGCUGCUCGACUAUCCACCCUCAUCUGGAGCUGAGCGCUUCCUGUCCUGACUCUGCCCUGCAGCCUGAGUCCUCUCCCGAAUAGACACAUCACCUUUCUCAACCCAAAGUGCCUGCUCCAUCGACACGUCCAAGGUCCUCCUCAACCUCUAUGCCUGAACCAACCGAAAAAUCUCGGGCCUCAAACCCUGCUCGAAAAGGUACACCCUGUGUGCCUCGUCUCUAGCCACAAACAGCACACAGUUCAGGAGUCGCAUGAACUCUCGAAUAUACUCCUGUACUGUCCGGUCCCCCUGUUGGAUCUUCUCUAAAUCCUCCUCGAGCUUCUGUUUCACACUAUUGGAAAAAUACAUCCCAUACAGCAUUCCAUAGAACUCGUCCCAUGCCAUCUGUAAAGUCACCAACUAGUAAUCUCUCCUCACUCUCCGCCACCAAGCAAGGGCAUCCCCUGUCAAGCAAUGCACUCCCAGAUGUACUUGCUCCCGCUCAAGAAUGAAAAGAUCCUCAAAUAACUUCUCCAUCGAGCUGACCUAGUCCUCAACAACCCAAGCCUCUGUGCAUCGGCCAUCAAAAGUCGGCGGAUCGAAACGAUGAAAGCGAGCGAGUCUCUCAGCCAUCCGCUCCUGCUCAGCCUCGGUCAUCUGCGAUGCCUCACCAACCGGCGCAGCUGGCACUGAAGGAACGGUCACUAGUCUUGGUACUACUGUAGCUGGUGCUGCCGCUGGAGCAGUCGGAGGUGGAACAAUCUGCUCUGGUACGGUACUCUGUGGUGAGGCUCUCACACAACCUCUCCAACAACUCCCCCUGCCGCCUCGUCACCUCUGUCAGAGCGGCCAACUAAGCACUCAAGUCGGGGGAUGCGCUCGCCUCUGGUCAUGUACUCUGCUCCUGCCGAGCACUCGGCUCUGCCUGCUCAGGCAUCUCGGAAGGUCCCACACGAUCCUGUGUCAACUGUGCCCGGUCCCACGUCGACGGUCAGCCUCGACGACGAUACAUAGCUGCAAAAAUAGAACAGGGUCAGAUAACACAAAUACUCUCAACCCAAUCAACGAAAGUCCGAAAGGCAGUCCCUAUUUCUCCUCAAAAUUAUGUCGUCUGCAGCCAACAUAAUUUUGCAGGCCAGAACAGGCACUCCUCCAAUCACUCACACUCCCCUCAGGGUGAGUUACAACAAUUAAUCAUUGACUUUCGCAAUAAAUCACGCCUCUCCCGUCUUGCUUUCCUAAGGUUUGCCGAACUUAUGUUUUUUAGGUCCCAAUGACCUAAUGCUAAACUCUGAUACCAAUUUAAUCUAUCACGCCCCGGAUUACACGUUCCCCGGGCACGCCGACAAAUCCGCCGUAUACAAAGAAAUUUUUCCUGUAUACGAAGCGAUAGCUAUCUCUGUAAAAUAUACAAUACUACAAACAGUAGUGUAGAGCUGAAAAGAACUAACCAGGUAAAACGAACAAAUCUCAUAUACAUACAAGCUAACAAGUACAAAAACACUCGCUCCAGCGAGUUCUAGUAUCAGUAUGUACAUAAGCUCAAAAUAAAACACUACUACCUGCAGCUGGUGAUCCUCUAGCACGGCGCUUCGUCGGGUAGGGCUCUAGCUCGCGACGCCCUUGCCUCGAUCCGCCUCUGAAGACACAGCAGCCGGAACAGCAGGCUCUGCAAAACACAGGGUAACAACUGGGCAUGAGAAUCGGCUCACCCACUAAGACUACAGUAGAAAACAAGGCUAAAAGGUAAACCCGGAAAGAAAUCCACAACUACAUAUAUACCACUACACUAUCCUACUGUGUCUACUAUCAAUUCUAACCCAAUCUCAUUAGGGACUGUGUACACACCCGUCCCGCCUGUCUAAGCCGCACUACCUCCAUGCUAAACAGUCCGUGGAUAGCAACUAAUCAACGACAUCAACACGAAAGCACAAAGCCAGACUCCGGAGUGGCACUCGUGGGCGCGACCCAACCAAGUAUGCAAGCGUAUCUCUGUCGAGCUCAAUCAGGCUCUCGCAGGCUAAAGUCAAGAAAACAGGUCUAACAGUACUACCAACCCCUAGUCACGUGCCCUCGGCACAAUCUGAUAUCGGAACGAUCAAAUCCGGGUCCGCCGUCAACCACUACGGCACCCACUAAUCCGGAACACUGUAAACACUAUUGUAAAAAUCGGCUCGGCAUCCCAGCACGAGCGUAACUGAAAUCUGAACUACCUGUGAUACUCACUAUAGGGAUACUGCAACAUUAUAAAAAUACAACGGCCCCUAGGGCUAAAUCAGGUAGUUCAACAUAUGCCAGGUCCCAAACGCUGAUUUUCUCCUAUGUUUUAUCCAAGUCCCACAUGCAUGAUUAAUAACAACUAAUAACAUGCUCCCAAUUUAGUUUAUAUGUCUAAAACAUACCUACUCAUGAAUUUGAGCUAAACAAUAAUAAUUUGUAAUAUUAACGAUACAUGUCGAC